rnacentral:rRNA from 1 species
AAUAGAUACCCUGGUAGUCCAUGCCGUAAACGAUGUCUACUAGCCGUUGGGGCCCUUGAGGCUUUAGUGGCGCAGCUAACGCGAUAAGUAGACCGCCUGGGGAGUACGGUCGCAAGACUAAAACUCAAAUGAAUUGACGGGGGCCCGCACAAGCGGUGGAGCAUGUGGUUUAAUUCGAUGCAACGCGAAGAACCUUACCUGGCCUUGACAUACAGAGAACUUUCCAGAGAUGGAUUGGUGCCUUCGGGAACUCUGAUACAGGUGCUGCAUGGCUGUCGUCAGCUCGUGUCGUGAGAUGUUGGGUUAAGUCCCGCAACGAGCGCAACCCUUUUCCUUAUUUGCCAGCACUUCGGGUGGGAACUUUAAGGAUACUGCCAGUGACAAACUGGAGGAAGGCGGGGACGACGUCAAGUCAUCAUGGCCCUUACGGCCAGGGCUACACACGUGCUACAAUGGUCGGUACAAAGGGUUGCUACUGCGCGAGCAGAUGCUAAUCUCAAAAAGCCGAUCGUAGUCCGGAUCGC